ACACUAUGCACAACCAAAGGCUCUUUUAAGAGGGUGCUGUUCCCUGGCAACACCAUAGACUACACUAUGCACUUUUAAGAGCCAUUCACAUUGCAAUACGUGUAUUAUUCCAUUUACUUAGCUAUGUCAAUUGCAGUUAUUCAAUUCACAGUUUCUCUCCCUUUGAUUUCUACUUCUUAGGUGAGGGUGCUGUUUAGGUAAGGGUUUGAUAUCUGUGCAAAAACAAAACAGGCUAUUUUAAAUCACCCAUAUUGAAGAAAUGUAGAACAAUUAGACACCCUAUAACCCACACCUACACACUCAUGUAUCAAUCUGAUUGAUGGAUUGUGUUGUGCAGUAAGCAGGCUCAGGUGUAUAACUGUGGCUCCUUCCACCUUCAAAGAAUAGGCAAGAGGGCCAACCAUAGAGAAUAGUAAGACACUUCAUUAUUUCUAUAACUAUGCUAUAAUUGUUUGUCCUCUUGUGUCCGUUCAUGUUUUUCAGCAUAAAGUACUCUGCAGCCACUUAGUGUGGUGUGGACACCAGGUUAUAUCAGCUGUGUCGGUGAACCCCUCCUGCAUCUGGACUGGCUACAUAGAGGGCACAGCAUGAUCAGAGAUAUGUUUUGAUGUGAGAGGAUGCCAACCCCUAGUCCCAUCAUCGCCACCUCACCCUCUUUUAAGAUCACCUUUGGGCCAACUAGAGACACUGUUAUGUAAUUGUGAUGAACUGAGAGAAUAUUUAUGUAGCACUGUGAUUCGUUAAUCAUGUGCUGCCUUCCCUGCUCCUAUGUGCUUACCUCUUUCCCUUUCUGUCUUUUACACCUCUCUCUCCACCUCCUCUUUCUUCCUCUGUUUUUAUAAUGCACAACAGAUGUGCAUUGAAGUACAGAUUGAACUUGUAUUUAUAACACUUGGAUAAUGAGCUUUUCAAUAAAGCGUUUCACAUUC